rnacentral:lncRNA from 1 species
UCUAGGUUAAAACCUGAACCCAUCGUGAAGUUUAACAGUGUUGAGGUACCAAUCUGAUAUUGGGGUCUGAUAAUAAGGGGUACCCCUUGUGGAUACGCGUCUGGUCGAGUCAGGACGCUUAUUGGAGUAAAACCUGGGGAAUAGAUGAGGUCUUCAUUAUCAUCCCCACAGUUGACCACUGGGCUACUUAUUUUUUCAAUUUUUCCUGCCAGUAACUGGGUUAACUGGCCUAUCAUAUUUCUUUGGAAUUCUAGCAUUUUUUCUCUCUAACCUUUGGUCCAUGUCUUUUGUCGAUUUUGAAAUAAUUUUACCUAAUUAGGGUGGGUCCUUUUUGGAAAAUUUAAUGCAUAUGAUAAAAUGCAAUGCAAAUGCAAAGAUGCAUGCAAAAAGAAAGAGAGGCGUUGAUUCUGAAUUCAAUUCCAUUAGAACAACUUUUUUAGAAAGCAAAUUUCUUUACAUAAAACGGAUUACAUAUGCGGCUUUGUCAUCAUAUUUCAAGUGAAGACACUGAUCUUUUUCUUUAAAUCCGAGUGUUAUGGUCAAAUCUUGCAAAUUUUCCAAAAGAUGCCUUUAUUAUCUCCUUUUUGCUUGAUCUAGGCCACGACUCAUUGUUCACUUAUCCCGCGAUACACGUUAGCUCCUUUAAGAAAGUAAAGACGUGACGGCUCUUGAUCAAUCUUCGUCGGCUUGAAUCCUUGGGCAAUGAAGCAAAGUUUUGUAUCACUCCGCAGACUAUCAGCCUUCUUUCGUUGUGUCUGAUUGAGCCAUAUUUAGACGGCCGUAUCAUAUUCCAUUUUAUCAAGGAAUCCAUUCUCCAUGACAAGCUUUUCUAUUUAGCAAUCGAAUGUGAAUCAACACCUUCUUUCUAUGAUGAAAAUGCAAUGCAAUUAAAAUAAAAAAAACAUGUUAGCACAGGAGAAAUAAACAAAAUAGAGUACAUAUCCGGGUGACCACUUGGGGUUCGGAGUGGUUCUAUCUAAGGCUGGCUCUUAAGGCUCAUUAUAUGUGGUUUGGUUCUAAAGAAAAGGGUACCUGAACUAACUGAUUCCUCGAUCUUCACCCAUUAUAGGCUCAUAUGGAUCGAGUUCAGUUCAGGGGAAUACAUUUCCCUAUGGCCAUGCGGAGAUGAAAAUCUCAAGAAGACAUAGGUACGGAUGUAUCCCAAAAGCGAUCCACUAUCCCAUGUGGAAGUGAAAACUUCACGAAGGACUAGUUUCUCACUCCCAUUUAAAAGGGUAAGAUCAACCGAUCAUGCAAUGAAAUGUGCAAAAAGAUACCAAAAUUUAAAUCAACACAGUAAUUAUAAACCAUAAUGAUGAAGAUCGUAACAAAGACGAAUGAAAUGCAACGAAAGGAUCGUACAUUUAAACCAAAUUUUCAAUUUUCGACAAAAGGACAAAAUUAACCAACUUAUGGCUCGACUCUCAAAGUCCCCAAUGGAGUCGCCAAGCUGUUGAAACCAUUUUUUUUAAACGGGAAUCGACUUUGUUUGAAAAUGAAAAUUAAAACGGGAGUCGCCAUUGAUCUUUAUUAGGUGUGAUCAGAUCACCUUUGUUUUAAUAAAACGUUCUAGUUUACUAAAACGGUGUUUUUGGUCUACAAAACUCGAGAGAACGAGUUCGGGAGUUAGUUACGUGCGAGGAAGGAUUAGCAUCCUCGUCACGCCCAAAAUUGGUACUGAAUGGAUUAGUCAAUGUCUUAAUGUCGAAAGUUGAAGAUCGGGAAUGGAUUUAAAAUAUGAUUCUUUUUUUAUUAACGUCGAUUUUAAAAAUGCUUGAAUUAGACCAAAACGAUUGCUAAAGAUUUCCUCGUCUCAAGAUAUCAGAGUAUCACAUCCCGUAAGUUAGGAUGCGAUACCAUGAACUCCCGAGCGCAAGUUUAUCUUUAAUUUUAAUUGAAUUUCAUGUGUUUUGAAACUUAAAAGGAUAUUUGGCCAUUUAGGUUUAACGAGAAAACUGAAACCCCGUAAGUUAGAGCACAAUUCCUUGAAUUUCCUAAAACGCAAAAUAUUACUUUAUUUAGAAAAUUUUCUUUUUGAAAUAUUGCGAGUAUGAUAUUUAACAACAUAAUUUAUUUUGUUUGAAAUAAAAUCAAGCGACCCAAGUUGAAUAAAUACGUUGGGUUAAUGUACGAUAUGAUUUAAAUUAGAUAAAACAAAAAUAUAACAUAGAGCAUGGAAUAAUACAACACAAAUACAAUAUUAUACAAGCAAAUGACAAUAAUAUGAAAAUACGAAUGAACGAAUUAUAAUACAACAACAAAAAUCACACAACACAUAUUAUUAGAAAUCUACAAUAAUAAUCAAAAGAAUGAAAUAAAUAACAUAAUGCCAUUUAAAAUAAAUAAUGAAACAAUUUUAAAUAAGUAAUUCAUAAAAAAAAUAAGCUUUAAAAUAGAUAUUGUAAUAGGCCCAUUUCGCCCAGGCCCAUACAAAAAGCAAAAACAAAAAAAUAAACUAAAUAAAAAAGACCCAAAAUCAAAGUCCAAAUAUAGUCUUUAUACAAAUUAUAGUCUAAAUUAUAUUCCAUUUUACAAAUAAACCCAUUACAAGCCCAAACCUAAAUUAAACCUAACCCAAUUAACCCAAAUAACCCAAAAUACCCCAGGCCCAAAACACCUAUGGAAUUUUCGGCGGAAGCCCUAGGUCACCUGCGCUGCAGCAACUUCCAGUAGCCUCCAGCACUACUGUUGUCUCCGGGUCAGCCCCACAUGCAUCUUCACGCCUCAUCCCAUGUGUGUCACCACCACUAGUUGGCUCCGUUUGUACCUGCAACAAACGAAAAUCAUAAAAGCAAAUGACAGCAAAGAUAACCGAAUAACAGCAAUAGAAUAGAGGAGAAAAAGGGAAAAUUUGUAAAUAUUAUAUUUCAUUUUUGGCUAUAAAAAGCCAUUGUAAACACUGAUUUUAGGGGAUACAGAUAUUGAAAAAGCAAUCAAAAUUGAAAAGGUGAUUUUGGAUUCAAAUAUUUUUAAUUUUUCUUUUUUCUUUCGACUCCAUUAGUCUUUCAGUAAAGUUUAUAUGCAUUUGAAAAUAAAGAGAAAACAAGUGAUUUACCUUGCGAAUGUGCUAAGAGAUUCCGUAUUCUUCGUUGAAAUCGGAGCGUAGAAGGAAUCUCGUGGUCGAGAUUGUCGUCCCUUGAAGCCCGAAUCUGUUCGUCACUAUUGAUAGAGGCAGACAGUGCUUAAGAGAGGGGUGUUAAGAUCGGUGGAGGCAAAAUCAAGAGAGGCUAGGGUUUUGGUUUCUUAUUCGGCCAAAGGAAGAUGGAUAUGGGGAAAGAUAUGCUUCAUUUUCUGAAGAAAGGGGCAGAGUACCAUUCAAACGUUUUUAGGGUUUAAUUACAAAAUAAAACAGCGCUGUUUGAUCUCUGAAGCCUGGGUACCGAAAAGGUACCCUUUCAUGCUGACCCGCAUGCGAACUGACCCGACCCGGGGAGGAUCAGCGCGUUUAUUUGUUUUGGGGAAAUUUCACAUUUGAUCCCUCUUCUUUUGCGUCGGCUUUUAAUUAAGGCUUGUUUAUAUUUACCUUGCUUUUUAAGUUUUUCCAUGGAAUUUGUUUGUCAUUUCAACUUAGUCCGCGCCUUAUUGCUGUGUUUUGGGACUUGGGACAUUUGCAUUUUUAAUCCCUAUUUGUUUGUGCACAUUUAAUUCAAGUCCUUGUUUCUGUUUAAAUAAUUUGAUUUGUUUAAGGUUAGCCUCUGGAUUUUAUUUUUUGUUUCAA